GAGCAGGAGUUCAAUGAGUUUCAAUUUAUGUAUCGUACUAAUAUUUAUUUAUAUGCUCGUUCAAUGAAUUUAGACACUUUCAGUUAAAUGGUUUGACGUUGAUUAUUUUUUACCUUCUCAAUAUUUUCUAUGUUUCUAAACAUUUUAACAAGUAUGCGUAAAAGUCUUCAAUUUUGCUAUUUUUUAUUUAAUAAGUAGUGAUUUUAUGCUUUCUACAUUUUUCGUAUCUAUUUUUUUUUUCUUCUUUUUUUUAAUCUGUAUAUAUGGAUAUUGAGUGUAUUUUGCUAUUAAUAUUUAGUAUUCGAUCCACAUACUUCUAUAUAGUGCAAAUGGGUUUUUAAUAUUCAAGUAUGUAUGUGUGUAUAUGUAUAUGUUGGGCCAUAGGUCUUCCUAUUAUUUAAUUUAGAUUUGCUCUACAUUUACGAAUUGAUUAGUUUUUGUUGUUUGUCACUGCUCGUCUUUCAAUAUAACUUCGCAUGAACUCACACACAGUUUUGGUGGUUUCCAUAUUAUGAAUCGCAUUUAUGCAUACACAAAAGAAAGUAAAUAGGCGGGAGUGUAAGACUUAAUUUUAAAAUAAAUUCAAAGACAUAAGAUGGAAUUUUACAUUAAGACGCCAUGUAAUAAAAAAAUUACAACAAAGCUAGUGAGUCGAAAACCGACCAAUGCACUUCAAAUGUAGCUCCGCUCACCCUUAUGCGAAAAUUCAACGCAACGCGCUCGAAACGUAUAUUUUUUAUUUCCGCCUGCCUCACCAUUUUGCCCUGCCCGCGAUGUUUAAACAAGAAAAUUAUGGCCGUGCAAGCUCACGCACGCUCUUAGUGCCGUGCUGUAGACAGUUAUAACAGAGGCUUUUGUUACACAGAUUUUCAUCACACGAAUAAGCGAAUAAUUGUAUUGUUAAUUAGUUGUAAAAAACUUCCGUUACAUCUGAAUAUGCUAUUAAAGUGUAAUAAUACAAAAUGUGCCAGCCAAUUUGAUGCGCGCAUAUUUCACGUUUCUUUAUUUUCAUGCUUGAAAGUAUUUUUUCAAAAGUGAGACAGAUUCAAGGCAGAAAACAAAUUAACUGCAUACUGAAAACGAAUGUCCAUUAGGUCUGUUCAUCAAGCAAAUAAUUUGUAACAAUUGUUGUGUUGGUGUUCAUGUAUACAAAAAACUUGCAAAGUAGGGGAAAGUGAGAGAAAUAAAUGGCAUUUCAUUUUGAGGGGAAGUUCCAAGCUUUUACUGGAUAAAUUUUUACUUGUAAGAAUUUGCAAGUGAGAACAACAGCUGAUCGCAAAGUGAAAAUAAAUUUGAAUUAAAAUUUGAGAAUUGAGUCAAAAUUUUACAUUUAACUUAGAAUGGUGAUUGAAAUGGAGAAUAUAAAAAUUGGCCAAUGAUAUGAAGAUAUGUACUUCUGAACCACAGCCUCCAGUCACCGUUGCGGCAGUUUCCGAAAGACAAAUCCAUCACUAAAAACGCAGCGGAAUUAUUGGCAUCGCAGUUAUCUAACGGUAAGCGUAUCGUUUUAUCGUGGUUGGGCUCAACUGUUUGGACACAUGAUGGAUGACUUGGCUGAGUGGGGCAUGUGAAGAAGGAGAAUUAGCUCCAAGACACAUUGCAUACAAAGAUCGUAGGAGUAGAGCAAAAACAAUAAGAGCAAUGUAUUUUGUUUUUGCUUUUGAUAUCUGGAAAGCCAAAAUCUAUAAACAAAGACUGGCAGUAAUUUAAACAAAAUUUUAGAAUUUGAAUACCAAAUAAAUAGAAAAGAGCCCGUUCCAUAUGCCUUGGCUAGAACCUUACGGCACAUCUACGCAGCUACUACUAGCUUCGCGUGGUGAACGCAGGAAAUGCAACAAAUCAAUCGUUACGGAUGGAACAAACUCCAGACGCAAAUUAACAAAGAUGAUCGAGUGUCGGUAAAAUCAAAGAAAUUAAAAAAACAACUCUUUUAAUUGGUUGUACGAAAAAAAUAACAGAAAAUUUAUUGGUUUUCCUUCUGUUGUUUCUUUGUUAAAAAAAUUAAAGAGAAACUUCUUGCAUAUUACUACUUACAACUUAAA